UACGGGGGGGGCAAGCGUUGUUCGGAAUUACUGGGCGUAAAGGGCUCGUAGGUGGCCAACUAAGUCAGACGUGAAAUCCCCAGGCUUAACCUGGGAACUGCGUCUGAUACUGGAUGGCUUGAAUUCGGGAGAGGGAUGCAGAAUUCCAGGUGUAGCGGUGAAAUGCGUAGAUAUAUGGAGGAAUACCGGUGGCGAAGGCGGCAUCCUGGACCGAGAUUGACACUGAUGAGCGAAAGCUAGGGGAGCAAACGGG
rnacentral:rRNA from 1 species